CCUACGGGAGGCAGCAGUGGGGAAUAUUGGACAAUGGGGGCAACCCUGAUCCAGCCAUGCCGCGUGUGUGAAGAAGGCCCUCGGGUUGUAAAGCACUUUCAGUGAGGAAGAACGCCUGGUGGUUAAUACCCAUCAGGAAAGACAUCACUCACAGAAGAAGCACCGGCUAACUCCGUGCCAGCAGCCGCGGUAAUACGGAGGGUGCGAGCGUUAAUCGGAAUUACUGGGCGUAAAGCGCGCGUAGGUGGCUUGAUAAGCCGGUUGUGAAAGCCCCGGGCUCAACCUGGGAACGGCAUCCGGAACUGUCAAGCUAGAGUGCAGGAGAGGAAGGUAGAAUUCCCGGUGUAGCGGUGAAAUGCGUAGAGAUCGGGAGGAAUACCAGUGGCGAAGGCGGCCUUCUGGACUGACACUGACACUGAGGUGCGAGAGCGUGGGUAGCAAACAGGAUUAGAUACCCUAGUAGUC
rnacentral:rRNA from 1 species